CCUACGGGUGGCAGCAGUGGGGAAUAUUGGGCAAUGGGCGCAAGCCUGAUCCAGCAACGCCGCGUGAAGGAAGAAGGCUCUCGGGUUGUAAACUUCUUUUAUCAGGGACGAAGCAAGUGACGGUACCUGAUGAAUAAGUUACGGCUAACUACGGGCCAGCAGCCGCGGUAAUACGUAGGGGGCAAGAGUUAUCCGGAUUUACUGGGUGUAAAGGGCGUGUAGGCGGGAAAGCAAGUCAGAUGUGAAAACCAUGGGCUCAACCUGUGGCCUGCAUUUGAUACUGGUUUUCUUGAGUACUGUAGAGGCAGACGGAAUUCCUGGUGUGGCGGUGAAAUGCGUAGAUAUUAGGAGGAACACCAGUGGCGAAGGCGGUCUGCUGGACAGCAACUGACGCUGAGGCGCGAAAGCGUGGGGAACAAACAGGAUUAGAUACCCCUGUAGUC
rnacentral:rRNA from 1 species